UAAUUUCUUUACCCGUUCCA
rnacentral:snRNA from 1 species